GAUGAACGCUAGCGGCGUGCCUAAUACAUGCAAGUCGAGCGAACAGACGAGGAGCUUGCUCCUCUGACGUUAGCGGCGGACGGGUGAGUAACACGUGGAUAACCUACCUAUAAGACUGGGAUAACUUCGGGAAACCGGAGCUAAUACCAGAUAACAUGUUGAACCGCAUGGUUCAACAGUGAAAGACGGUCUUGCUGUCACUCAUAGAUGGAUCCGCGCCGCAUUAGCUAGUUGGUAAGGUAACGGCUUACCAAGGCAACGAUGCGUAGCCGACCUGAGAGGGUGAUCGGCCACACUGGAACUGAGACACGGUCCAGACUCCUACGGGAGGCAGCAGUAGGGAAUCUUCCGCAAUGGGCGAAAGCCUGACGGAGCAACGCCGCGUGAGUGAUGAAGGUCUUCGGAUCGUAAAACUCUGUUAUUAGGGAAGAACAAAUGUGUAAGUAACUAUGCACGUCUUGACGGUACCUAAUCAGAAAGCCACGGCUAACUACGUGCCAGCCGCCGCGGUAG
rnacentral:rRNA from 1 species